rnacentral:rRNA from 1 species
UACAGAGGAGCCAAGCGUUGUCCGGAUUGACUGGGCGUAAAGCGCACGCAGGCGGUUGCGCGCGUGGGGUGUGAAAUCUGGCCGCUUAACGGCCAGGCGCCAUCCCAUACGGCGCGACUGGAGUGAUGCAGAGGUCGAUGGAUUCCUGGUGUAGCGGUGAAAUGCGCAGAUAUCAGGAGGAACACCGGUGGCGAAGGCGGGUCUCUGGGCCGAUAAUCG